CGCAUAAUAUUAUACGGAUAGCACUUAUUUUAUAACUCCCAACAUAUUUAUAGGGUGAAAGAUGGGCUUGCGGACACAUUAGCUACUUGGCUAAAGGUAAUGGCUUACCAAGGCUACGAUGUUUAGGGGAUCUUGAUGAGGAUGACCCCCCACACUGGUACUGGAGACACGGACCAGACUCAAACGGGAGGCAGCAGUAAGGAAUAUUGGUCAAUGGGCGGAAGCCUGAACCAGCCAUGCCGCGUGCAGGAAGACGGCCCUACGGGUUGUAAACUGCUUUUAUACGGGAAUAAACCUACUUACGUGUAAGUAGCUGAAUGUACUGUAAGGAAUAAGGAUCGGCUAACUCCGUGCCAGCAGCCGCGGUAAUUACGGAGGAUCCAAGCGUUAUCCCGGAUUCAUUGGGUUUAAAGGGUGCGUAGUGGCCUGUAAGGUCCAGGGGUGAAAGACGGUAGCUUAACUAUCGCAGUGCCCUUGAUACUGAUGGGCUUGAAUGACUAAGGUAAGGCGGGAAUGUGACAAGUAGCGGGUGGAAAUUGCAUACGAUUGUCACAAAGAAC
rnacentral:rRNA from 1 species